rnacentral:rRNA from 1 species
UCAAAUCAGGUAGGACUACCCGCUGAACUUAAGCAUAUCAAUAAGCGGAGGAAAAGAAACCAACAGGGAUUGCCUUAGUAGCGGCGAGUGAAGCGGCAAAAGCUCAAAUUUGAAAUCUGGCACUUUCAGUGUCCGAGUUGUAAUUUGAAGAAGGUAUCUUUGGGUCUGGCUCUUGUCUAUGUUUCUUGGAACAGAACGUCACAGAGGGUGAGAAUCCCGUGCGAUGAGAUGACCCAGACCUAUGUAAAGUUCCUUCGAAGAGUCGAGUUGUUUGGGAAUGCAGCUCUAAGUGGGUGGUAAAUUCCAUCUAAAGCUAAAUAUUGGCGAGAGACCGAUAGCGAACAAGUACAGUGAUGGAAAGAUGAAAAGAACUUUGAAAAGAGAGUGAAAAAGUACGUGAAAUUGUUGAAAGGGAAGGGCUUGAGAUCAGACUUGGUAUUUUGUAUGUUACUCUCUCGGGGGUGGCCUCUACAGUUUACCGGGCCAGCAUCAGUUUGGGCGGUAGGAGAAUUGCAAAGAAAUGUGGCACUGCCUCGGUAGUGUGUUAUAGUCUUUGUCGAUACUACCAGCCUAGACUGAGGACUGCGGCUUCGGCC